rnacentral:rRNA from 1 species
GAUGAACGCUGGCGGCGUGCCUAAUACAUGCAAGUCGAGCGAACAGAUGAGGAGCUUGCUCCUCUGACGUUAGCGGCGGACGGGUGAGUAACACGUGGAUAACCUACCUAUAAGACUGGGAUAACUUCGGGAAACCGGAGCUAAUACCGGAUAAUAUAUUGAACCGCAUGGUUCAAUAGUGAAAGACGGUUUUGCUGUCACUUAUAGAUGGAUCCGCGCCGCAUUAGCUAGUUGGUAAGGUAACGGCUUACCAAGGCAACGAUGCGUAGCCGACCUGAGAGGGUGAUCGGCCACACUGGAACUGGGACACGGUCCAGACUCCUACGGGAGGCAGCAGUAGGGAAUCUUCCGCAAUGGGCGAAAGCCUGACGGAGCAACGCCGCGUGAGUGAUGAAGGUCUUCGGAUCGUAAAACUCUGUUAUUAGGGAAGAACAAAUGUGUAAGUAACUAUGCACGUCUUGGCGGUACCUAAUCAGAAAGCCACGGCUAACUACGUG